rnacentral:rRNA from 1 species
AACGAACGCUGGCGGCAUGCCUAACACAUGCAAGUCGAACGAGACCUUCGGGUCUAGUGGCGCACGUGUGCGUAACGCGUGGGAACCUGCCCUUGGGUUCGGAAUAACUCCCCGAAAGGUGUGCUAAUACCGGAUAAUGUCUUCGGACCAAAGAGUUAUCGCCUUUGGAUGGGGCCGCGUUGGAUUAGCUAGUUGGUAGGGUAAAAGCAUACCAAGGCGACGAUCCAUAGCUGGUCUGAGAGGAUGAUCAGCCACACUGGGACUGAGACACGGCCCAGACUCCUACGGGAGGCAGCAGUGGGGAAUAUUGGACAAUGGGCGAAAGCCUGAUCCAGCAAUGCCGCGUGAGUGAUGAAGGCCUUAGGGUUGUAAAGCUCUUUUACACGGGAUGAUAAUGACAGUACCGGGAGAAUAAGCUCCGGCUAACUCCGUG